CUAUUAUUCAGUACCUUAAGAUAUUACUCAAAAUAUUUUAUAAAACACUUGGAUACAGAAGGGUUCAUAAACGAUUGAGAAGUGAUGAUGGUUUAAAGAACAAUAACCCGUAGAUACGUUGACAUAUCUAAAUGUAUAUAUUUGGGUUAUUAUUCAAGUGAUUAUUUACGUGCUUAAAUAGUAAUCGAGAAAAAGGGAAAAUAGAAGGG
rnacentral:lncRNA from 1 species